GGGACAUCAUUUCUAUCAGCCAAUCAAACGUUAUUACGUCAUCAUUAUGAGCCUCCUGCAGAGUCCGCCAAAAACGCAAAUUCAAAAAAGAAAAAACACACACACACACACACACCCACGCACAGGCAACUGCCAUUUUCACCAGUGAAGAGGACAGGUGAAGAGGACAAGUGAAGAGGUGUUUUAUGGUUGAUAAAGACCAGGCUGAAAUCAAUGCCAUCCGUAAGGUGUUCAACGAGUCAGACAUUCUCCUUUGUUGGUACCAUGUAACGCAAGCAGUAACUCGUUGGCUGUCAAUAUCUGAAUCUGGUGUGAGUGGACCUGAAAAGGCAGAUGCAAGAGCGCACAUCAUACAGUUUAUGUCAGAGAUGAAAUGCUGUUCAAAGGCACAAGAAUUUAAGGAAAAGGCUGAGAUGUUUCACUGCCAGUUUAGGAACUUCAAAUAUGUCUGCAAGUACUUUAGGAACAACUUGGAGACAAUUGGUCAUCUGUGGUCUAACUUUGGAAGAUGCUAUAAAAAGAGACUCUGACACAAACAGGGAGACUGGUCUGAAAUACAUGAUACCCCCAUGAAAAACGGAAGUGUUGGCAGGUUUGAGCUACCAGAACUGUUGCUAUGACAGCGACUCUCGGAUCAGUUUUGAAGAACGAAAUGAUCCUGGAUCGUGUCAAAUCGUCAUUAUCCAAAUCCAGCUAACUGAGUAAUCCAUGUACGAAGAACUGACCCCAUAUACGAAGAACUAAGAAGAAAACGCAAAGAAAACAAGUUUUUUUUUAUUUUAUUUUGUACAGUAUAUCUGAUAUCAGUUUAGAACAUAACAUUUACAAUAGAACUGUCUAAAAUGAAAUAAAAUUCUAAUUGUAAAAACGUAAU